rnacentral:rRNA from 1 species
UGCAGUCGAGCGGACAGAAGGGAGCUUGCUCCCGGAUGUAAGCGGCGGACGGGUGAGUAACACGUGGGUAACCUGCCUGUAAGACUGGGAUAACUCCGGGAAACCGGAGCUAAUACCGGAUAGUUCUUUGAACCGCAUGGUUCAAGGAUGAAAGACGGUUUCGGCUGUCACUUACAGAUGGACCCGCGGCGCAUUAGCUAGUUGGUGGGGUAAUGGCUCACCAAGGCGACGAUGCGUAGCCGACCUGAGAGGGUGAUCGGCCACACUGGGACUGAGACACGGCCCAGACUCCUACGGGAGGCAGCAGUAGGGAAUCUUCCGCAAUGGACGAAAGUCUGACGGAGCAACGCCGCGUGAGUGAUGAAGGUUUUCGGAUCGUAAAGCUCUGUUGUUAGGGAAGAACAAGUACGAGAGUAACUGCUCGUACCUUGACGGUACCUAACCAGAAAGCCACGGCUAACUACGUGCCAGCAGCCGCGGUAAUACGUAGGUGGCAAGCGUUGUCCGGAAUUAUUGGGCGUAAAGGGCUCGCAGGCGGUUUCUUAAGUCUGAUGUGAAAGCCCCCGGCUCAACCGGGGAGGGUCAUUGGAAACUGGGAAACUUGAGUGCAGAAGAGGAGAGUGGAAUUCCACGUGUAGCGGUGAAAUGCGUAGAGAUGUGGAGGAACACCAGUGGCGAAGGCGACUCUCUGGUCUGUAACUGACGCUGAGGAGCGAA